CAAAGGCUAGUCUAAUUAAGACAACCGAUUUCGACUCGGUAAAUCUCAUCCCCAUGAGGUCUUUAU
rnacentral:tRNA from 1 species